rnacentral:rRNA from 1 species
CCUACGGGAGGCAGCAGUAAGGAAUAUUGGUCAAUGGACGCAAGUCUGAACCAGCCAUGCCGCGUGAAGGAUUAAGGCCCUCUGGGUUGUAAACUUCUUUUAUAGGGGACGAAAAAAGGGCAUUCUUGCUCACUUGACGGUACCCUAGGAAUAAGCACCGGCUAACUCCGUGCCAGCAGCCGCGGUAAUACGGAGGGUGCAAGCGUUAUCCGGAUUUACUGGGUUUAAAGGGUGCGUAGGUGGGUUGGUAAGUCAGUGGUGAAAUCUUCGAGCUUAACUCGGAAACUGCCAUUGAUACUAUCAAUCUUGAAUCAUCUAGAGGUAAGCGGAAUAUGUCAUGUAGCGGUGAAAUGCUUAGAUAUGACAUAGAACACCAAUUGCGAAGGCAGCUUACUAUGGAUGUAUUGACACUGGGGCACGAAAGCGUGGGGAUCAAACAGGAUUAGAUACCCUGGUAGUCCACGCCCUAAACGAUGGAUACUCGACAUUUGUGAUAUACUAUAAGUGUCUGAGCGAAAGCAUUAAGUAUCCCACCUGGAAGUACGACCGCAAGGUUGAAACUCAAAGGAAUUGACGGNNGAGAGAGCGAGACGACGACGAGGGAGGAGG